rfam:Ferrimonas marina strain DSM 16917 genome assembly, contig: EK02DRAFT_scaffold00005.5
UCCCUAUCUGCCGUGGGCGUUUGAGAAUUGAGAGGGGCUGCUCCUAGUACGAGAGGACCGGAGUGGACGAACCUCUGGUGUUCCGGUUGUCACGCCAGUGGCACUGCCGGGUAGCUAAGUUCGGAAUCGAUAACCGCUGAAAGCAUCUAAGCGGGAAGCGAGCCUCAAGAUGAGUUCUCACUUGGACUUUAAGUCUCCUGAAGGGCCGUGGAAGACUACCACGUUGAUAGGCAGGGUGUGUAAGCGUUGUGAGGCGUUGAGCUAACCUGUACUAAUGACCCGUGAGGCUUAACCAU